rnacentral:rRNA from 1 species
UACGUAGGGGGCAAGCGUUGUCCGGAUUCAUUGGGCGUAAAGAGCGUGUAGGCGGCCAGGUAGGUCGGUUGUGAAAACUGGAGGCUCAACCUUCAGAGGUCGACCGAAACCAUCUGGCUAGAGUCCGGGAGAGGAGAGUGGAAUUCCUGGUGUAGCGGUGAAAUGCGUAGAGAUCAGGAAGAACAUCGGUGGCGAAGGCGCUUUGCUGGACCAUAACUGACACUCAGGGACGAAAGCUAGGGGAGCGAAUGGG